UACGGAGGGGGCUAGCGUUGUUCGGAAUUACUGGGCGUAAAGCGCACGUAGGCGGACCAGCAAGUUAGGGGUGAAAUCCCGGGGCUCAACCCCGGAACUGCCUUUAAAACUGUUGGUCUGGAGGUCGAGAGAGGUGAGUGGAAUUCCGAGUGUAGAGGUGAAAUUCGUAGAUAUUCGGAGGAACACCAGUGGCGAAGGCGGCUCACUGGCUCGAUACUGACGCUGAGGAGCGAAAGCCAGGGGAGCAAACGGG
rnacentral:rRNA from 1 species